rnacentral:ncRNA from 1 species
CUAGGGUCAGCUGGCCUUGGUGUUCGGGAAACCGGUGGAAAACCGGUGCGGCCCUCGCCACUGUGAUCGGGAAGUCCAGCUCCACCCCUUGCGGGAGCCACUGGGACCGCACGGGAGACCGUGCGGACCCGGGAAGGCGGAGCCGGGGCGGCAGUACCCGUCAGCCAGGAGACCGGCCGGGGCGCGUACGUCCAU